rnacentral:rRNA from 1 species
UACGAAGGGUGCAAGCGUUACUCGGAAUUACUGGGCGUAAAGCGUGCGUAGGUGGUGAGUUAAGUCUGUCGUGAAAGCCCCGGGCUCAACCUGGGAAUGGCGAUGGAUACUGGCUCGCUAGAGUGCGGUAGAGGAGAGUGGAAUUUCCUGUGUAGCGGUGAAAUGCGUAGAUAUAGGAAGGAACACCAGUGGCGAAGGCGACCACCUGGACUGAUACUGACACUGAGGUGCGAAAGCCAGGGGAGCGAACGGG